CACCAUGGCGACCAGACAGAAGUUGAUGAGAGCUGUUAGAGUUUUUGAAUUUGGUGGACCAGAAGUCCUGAAAUUGCAGUCAGAUAUUGCAGUACCAAUUCCAAAAGACCAUCAGGUUCUAAUCAAGGUCCAUGCAUGUGGUGUCAACCCUGUGGAGACAUACGUUCGCUCUGGUACUCAUAGUAUAAAACCAGUCUUACCCUAUACUCCUGGCUCAGAUGUGGCUGGGGUGAUAGAAGCUGUUGGAGAUAAUGCAUCUGCUUUCAAGAAAGGUGACAGAGUUUUCACUAGCAACACGAUCUCUGGGGGCUAUGCAGAGUAUGCUCUUGCAGCAGACCACACUGUUUACAAACUACCUGAAAAACUGGACUUUAAACAAGGAGCUGCCAUCGGUAUCCCAUAUUUUACUGCCUAUCGAGCUCUGAUCCACAGUGCCCGUGUGAAAGCUGGAGAAAGUGUUCUGGCUCAUGGGGCGAGUGGAGAGUUGGAUUAGCAGCAUGCCAGAUUGCUAGAGCUUAUGGCUUAAAGGUUUUGGGCUCUGCUGGUACUGAGGAAGGACAAAAGAUUGUUUUGCAAAAUGGAGCCCAUGAAGUGUUCAAUCACAGAGAAGUGAAUUAUAUUGAUAAAAUUAAGAACUAUGUUGGUGAGAAAGGAAUUGAUGUAAUUAUUGAAAUGUUAGCUAAUGUAAAUCUUAGUAAAGACUUGAGUCUUCUGUCACAUGGAGGACGAGUGAUAGUUGUUGGCAACAGAGGUACUAUUGAAAUAAACCCACGGGACACCAUGGCAAAGGAGUCGAGUAUAAUUGGAGUUACUCUCUUUUCCUCAACCAAGGAGGAAUUUCAGCAAUAUGCAGCAGCCCUUCAAGCUGGAAUGGAAAUUGGCUGGUUGAAACCUGUAAUAGGUUCUCAAUAUCCAUUGGAGAAGGUGGCCGAGGCUCAUAAAGAUAUCAUUCAUGGCAGUGGGGCUACUGGAAAAAUGAUUCUUCUCUUAUGAUUAAUUCUUUCAUGGAUUUCCUGUGUAAUCAGAGGUACUGUCUUUCCCCCAGUUAUACUUACCCUAUCUUUUCUUUAAUUAAUACUCAAUUUCAUGAGUUUCUUAUGUGAAAAAAUAGGAUUUUUCUUUAGAGAGCAGAGGCAGAAGAGUAAAAUUCAUCGUAUAGUAGCAAUAUUUUUUUUAUGCCAUCUGUCUCAAAUCAAGGAGUCAUCAUAGUAGGAAAUAGCAUGUUAGUCAUCGUUUGGCAUGAGGGUGCAUUCCAGUAAUUCUUAAUUGAUACUUGAUUAGUUCCAUACCUUUGAUUAAAACAUGCUAGUUCAAAAUAAGACUGCUCAGUUUCCAAGGGUUUUCAAGCCUACUUACCUUUGUAAAGGUUCUCU